UCGAGAGUUUGAUCCUGGCUCAGGAUGAACGCUAGCGGCAGGCUUAACACAUGCAAGUCGAGGGGUAUAGUUCUUCGGAGCUAGAGACCGGCGCACGGGUGCGUAACGCGUAUGCAAUCUACCUUUUACAGAGGGAUAGCCCAGAGAAAUUUGGAUUAAUACCUCAUAGUAUGUGAGAAUCGCAUGGUUUUUCACAUUAAAAGUUCCAACGGUAAAAGAUGAGCAUGCGUCCCAUUAGCUAGAUGGUAAGGUAACGGCUUACCAUGGCGACGAUGGGUAGGGGUCCUGAGAGGGAGAUCCCCCGACACUGGUACUGAGACACGGACCAGAC
rnacentral:rRNA from 1 species